rnacentral:ncRNA from 1 species
UAAGAGGGAACCCGGUGGGAAUCCGGGACUGCCCCGCAGCGGUGAGCGGGAACGACCGCCGUCACACAGCACUGGGCCGACGCACACGGCUUGGGAAGCGACGGCCAGUAGGGGUCUCGUACGACGAGACGUGCCCGCGAGUCCGAAGACCU